rnacentral:lncRNA from 1 species
CUUAAUAGCCUUUUAACAAAAAAAUAAACUAUGAGAACUAAUAAAGCAUUAAAAAGGCUCUAACUAAAAUAUGUAAUGCUAAAACUAAAUUAUGGAAUAAUUUUCCUUUUUUCUUUCAGAAUAUUUUGUAGGGUGCUUUUCAUGUUGUUCUCCAUCAUUGGUUGUAUUUUCUGCAUGGCAUUCCCGACCCCUAUUUGCUUUGGAUAGUUAUUAGUUGCUAUGACAUGGAUCUUGCAAAAAGAGAACCAAUUGGUAUUGAAAUGAAUUACAGUUUUGUUGAAUCAGCAGCAUGCAGUUUUUACUUUUAACUAUUUAAUAUAGUUUUACUUUUUGUUGGUGUUGUAUUACUUCAUCCAUAUUUUUCAUUGAUUAGGCUAUUGAAUGACCAGCAUGCAGCUCCUACAAGUGACAUAGAGGUUAGAGCUUUUUCUAAAAUCUGUCAAUACAAUUGUACACAUAUCUGAACUAAACAUAUGGACAGGUUUGGUGAAGUUAAAACAUUUACCUUGGUAGAUAAGGUAUCAAGGAGGUGUCCAAGAAACAAAGAAGGCAGAGAGAUGUCCCUCACAUGCUUAAAACCACUAAUAAGCUAUUCUUUUAAACUAAUUUUUUUAUUGUAGAAUUUGUUGUUAUGUCACAUGCAUAAUUUGGAAAAGGACUAUCUAUAUCAUGCCUUUUUCUUCCAUGAUGUUGAAGAAGAAAACUGGAAACUGAGAGCUUAUCUGCUGUGUAUCAGGUUCCCUCUAGUAAUCAUGCCUAUAAGGAGCAGUAGAAUGCUAUGAGGUGUAUCAUAACAGUUCAAAUAUAUCUAAAACAUUUGGUGGUGUCGCCCCUCCAACACUUCAAAUUGCAGCAAUGGCUCAAUAGCAGGCUUCAUACCCUACCUACCACCAGCAGCAACAACAGCAUUUGGUGUAAUUUUCCCCCAACACUACUACUGCUCACCCUCAAACUAACAAUCCUUUUGGAAGCACUGGUCUACUGUAAUUUUCUGUUGAUUUCUCAUGUUUAUGUAUGAUGUAAAAUUAUUUUGGCAUUUGAAUUCAAAUAAAACUAUUUCCUUCUAGUUAUAUGUAGUUUUAAUAUAAUUCUAUAUUUAUAUAGAUAAGGGAUGCGGAUUUUCAGAAUUUCGAUAAAUGCAAUCUAAAUAUAUAUUAGAUAUGUAAGAAAAGUCUAGACAAUGAGAAGUUCCAAGUUUGAAAAACAAUAUUUUAUUGACUUAAAAUCUAUUUUUUUAUUUUUCUUCAUUUUUUUCUUUCUUCUCUAUUUUUUUUUUCUUCGCAUUUUCUUCGAACUUUCUGAAACCAAACAUACCCCUUGGAUUUAGAUUGUCUUUUGUGGGUUUGUUGUUUUGAAAUUUAGUGCUUUCAGUUUCCUUGAAGGAAUGAGAUCCCUGAGGAUGAGAGUUUUGGUGGGUACGAGUCUUUGGUUAAGAGUGUUGAUCUUAUUUUAAUGUUAAAAGUUCAUAAAAUUUUGAAUUUGUGUUUAUAAAAGUAACAAAUAUGGUUAAGUCUGAACUAAACAAUACAUAAAAAGUAAUCGAAAGUUAAAAAUAAAAACAAAUGAUGUCAAAAUUUAAGCAAAUAUAAGGGUGUAAGUUUUAACUUAUAACAAUUAUACAUCCCAUUCUAUCUCAUGGAAACAAAUGGUAAUUAAUUAUACAAAUAUCAUCCAAAUAAAAUUAUCUAGUUAUACAAAUAUGUUAAUAAUUUGGAAAAAGUAUCAAAAGUAAAAUAAUGGUAAGAAUAUAUACAUUCCUUGAUAAAAUUGAACUUACAAAGGAUGGUAACAAAUCCUAACAAGAUCAUGAUAUAUGUAGUAAAACUUUUAUAGCAAAUCAUAUAAUCAAUAUCGUACCCAUGGUGGUAAUAUUAAUCUUUUUAUUAAAAUUUAGUUCAUGUAUUUUUAGAUUGUUUUGUGCUUUCAUAUGUAGAGAAAACGAAAUUUAAGUUUAAAAAACAUAUUUGGUUAUUGUUUCCAUUUUUUGAAAAACUAAAAAUGGAAAAUCUGAAAAAUACUAAUUUAGUUUUCAAAAUUUUGCAAGAAAAGUAAAAAUGGGUGUAAUCCUCUAUUUAGUCCCCUAGCAUAUGUUUUCCCCUUUAUUGUUCUUUUUCUUGUUUUGUGAUCUGUUUUAGUUCAUGUUUAGGAACCCUUUUUACUCUGUUUUUUAUGGCUCAUCAUUGGCUCAUAUUUAUCUGAUUCAUUAUUGAUUUUCAGAGCCAUAUUUUGGAGACCAUGAAAAGGUUAUUUUGGGUCUAGCACGAUCAUUGGGCCCUGUAGACUUAGGGUCUGUUUGAUUGCUGUUUUGGAAAUCUGUUUUGAAAAACAGUUUUUGAGAACAGUUUUUGGUGUUUUUAGAAAAAAAAUUAUGUUUAGGAAUUGAAUUUUGGAAAACAAUUUUUGUUCUAAAAAAAAAGAAACAUGUUUGGUUAAGUUAAUAAAAAAGUUUUUUAGAACAGGUAAAACAAAAAACACAUUUGAAAAAUGUUUUUUUUUCUAAUUAAUAAAAUAUUUUCUUCUAAUAAUUUUAUAUUAUAAAUUUAUAAAUAAUUUUUAGAUAUACAGUUUAUUUAAAUUAAAAAAAUUAUUUAUUUUAUUAAUUUUAAAAUAAAAAUAUAUUUUAUAUUUUUUUAAAAUAAAUCAAAUAUGAUAAAAUCAUUUUUAUUAAUAUUUUUAUUUUAUUUUAUUAAAAAUUAUAGUAUAUUCUAUGAGAUGAGAUAAAAUUGUUCUCAUGAUUUGUUUAAUUUUUUUUUAUCUCUACUAAAUCUAAAAAUCAAAACGCCACCCACUUCUCUCACUAGGGCAUCAAGAAGCCCUUUUCUGAAGUUGCCAUCCAGAGCAGAGAAUCCCUAAUUGAUUUGUUUCUUCUUUUUUUUUUUUUUAUUAAUGUCUACUAAAACUAAAAAUCAAGAGGGCCACCCACUUCUCUCAGUCGGGCAUCAAGAAGCCCUUUUCUGAAGUUGCCAUCCAGAGCAGAGAAUCCCUAAAAAAGGCCUAUUUUCCUCUGCCACGCUCAAUCCUCGCAGGUACUAAUCUAAUCAUGUUUUUAUUUUUUUUGCAACCCCCGUUUGAUUCCCAAGAAAAUCCAUCCCCCAUUCGAUUUCCGGGAAAAUUCAUCUUCGUUUGAUUUCCGAGAAAAUACAUACAAAACCCCCAAGGAAAACCAAAAAAUUUGCUUUUUUUUGCUCCCUGUGUUUUCUGGAUCUGUUCUAGGUGUCUCUUUGCUUUUGUGCCAUUGGAUUUCAAUUUCACGAACGCUAAAUCCACGAUUUUUGAGCCGGGCUGAAAAACACAACCUUUGCCUGCAAAUCAUGAUCAGAUUACCAAAUAGCAUCUUAUUUUUUAUAUAUAUAUAAAAAAAAAAUUGGACAGAUUUUUGUAUCCUGUGCGCGGGCUGGACUGGUAGGAAAUAUCGGGAAACAGAUGUUCUCUUUAUGGCUUUUUUUGUUCUGUAAACAGUAAAAAAACGGGGAAAACACCAUUUUUUUUGUUCUCUAAACAGUGCAAUUUUGGGAACACGGAGAACAACAAAAACAAAAACAAGUUUCUAAAUCAAACAAAUUUUUGGUGUUUUUUGUUUUCAAGAACAGAAAACAGUUAUUGAAAACACCAACCAAACAGGCCCCUAGAGACUUGACGGGCGAAUCUGUUGUUUCACCUUAACAUUUUUCACCGAAGGUCCUCUCUGCUGCUGCUUCUUCCUCGUCAAUGGCGGCUACUAACCUUCUCCCUCAAACUCCCACAUUCUCCAAAUCCCUAAAAUACCCUUUAAACCCAAAGUCAUUUUCUCCAUUUCCCAACUUACUUCUCAGAUCCUCCCCUAAAACCCUGACGCUCAAAGCUGUUCUAUCCCAAAACCCUGCAAAAACCUUAACCCCAGACGCACAAGCCAAGAAAUUUCAGCACUGUUUCAGAAAAUCCGAAGAUGGGUUUCUCUACUGCGAAGGUCUCAGAGUCCAAGACGUCAUGAACCAAGUAGAGAAAAGGCCAUUUUACCUAUAUAGUAAACCACAAAUUGCGCGAAAUUUUGAAGCUUACAGGGAGGCUUUGGAGGGUUUAAGAUCGAUAAUUGGAUAUGCGAUUAAAGCCAACAAUAAUUUGAAGAUUUUGGAGCAUUUGAGGGAGUUGGGGUGCGGUGCCGUUUUGGUGAGCGGGAACGAGUUGAGGUUGGCUCUUCGAGCUGGGUUUGAUCCAACAAGGUAUAAUUAUAAAUAGAAGAGUGUUACAUUGUGCAUUGAGGGAGAAAUUAUGUCACAUUUCAAUUUCUGUUUUAGUGUUUGGUUGUAAAAAUCUAGGUUGUUGAAUUAUGUCACAUUUCAAUUUCUGUUUUUGAACGAUGAGUGCUUAGAAGUUUAUGAUGGGUGUUGUAAAGUGUUUCAAUUUCUCCUUAUGCCUUUUUACGACUACAGUUUCUCACUUAAUUUGCAAUUAACUUUUAAGUUUUCCUACUUAACAACUAACAAGUGGUUAGAUUUAUUUCUUGUCUGCUAGGAGAGGUGGUAUCCUGUUUGGUUUUUGUUUGAUCACUAUUGUAGUGGGGAGAUUAGUUUAUUAUUUGUUGGUAACUUUUUUACCCCAUUGGCAAGUGAACAUGGAAGCUCCUGCAUCCCCAAACAACUCCUUGCCACUCAACCCAGGCCUCAAGGGUUGGCAGAUUAUAUUAUAUUAAGAGGCAAAUCAUAAAAAUGAAUGCUUUCUUGCAAAUUAAGGCAGUCUCCAUUAGCUUAUUAUUUGUUUGAUCAUUAGGAAGGGGGAAAUGCAACCAAAAAAUUGAGACUUCGGUAUGAGUGUAGAACAACAUAGUAUAGGUAAACUUUGUGUAAAUCAAAAAGCGUGCUCAAUUCCUGGUUUCUCACAAUUUCUAAUAACCACAAAGGAAAUUGCACCCUAAAAGUUAGCCUUUGAUGUGAUUAUGAAACAGUUUAAUUAAUCUGAUCAAAAAACAAAACAACUUAAUGAACACUCUGCCCCCUGACUAGAGUGGGAUCAAUCAAAUUAGUAUUUUAAAUAACCUAUGAUGGCCCCAACUUUAACCCAUGAUGGCCUUUUUAUCUCUAUCCAGUGCAUUUGGAAAAAGUAGAAUAGAAAAUAUUUUUGUGGACUUUAGAGGUUCGAUUUAUAAGAAAAUUAGGAUAAUCGUAUUAGGAUAAGCACCUAACAAAAAGGAUGCACAACCCAGAAAAACAUGCAGCAUACAAGCAGCGCACAAACAGAAAAGAAAAGUAAAACCUAUGAUUCUAACUAGCUAAACAAUCCCCAUAAUAUCAGCAAGGUCCAAAAAAGGCCAAGCAGUUUAGCUCACAUCCCCUUUGGUCCACUAGAACCAUCUUUAGAAUCACAUACUUGACCAUUGAAUAAGAUCUGUCCAUACCAUCAAAUGAUCUAUGAUGAUGCUUCUUCUAAGUGAUCCAGAACUGCAUAGUGGAGCCAGCUUCUAAAUUGUCUUGUGAUUGGCUCCUGCAAGAGCACCAUGCCAACCAAGAAAGAAUCCUUAAUUGUUCAAGGAAAAACGCAAGAGAUGCCAAGCAUUGAAAACGCCUAGGACCAUAGGCCUGAAAUCUAACUAUAAUGAAUAUUUAGUCAGCAAAUUCGAGGUUUGGUUGGCCUUGAAAAAGCUCUUUCUCAAAUCUCUGCUUUGGUGGCUGAGAGGCCUGCAUGAGGUGAAAAUUUGUUAACACAAGAUUUUAUAGAUCUAUUAAUUUGCUUCUUUAUUCGGGUUUGAUUUGGUGUUAUGCUUGCGCAAUUCCCUGUUUAGUUUAACUCCUUGUGUUGAUUUCUGGAUGAAUAGGUGUAUCUUUAAUGGGAAUGGGAAGCUUUUGGAGGAUUUGGUGCUAGCUGCCCAAGAAGGUGUCUUUGUCAAUGUUGAUAGUGAAUUUGAUUUGGAUAAUAUUAUAUCAGCUGCAAGAAUUGCUGGCAAGAAGGUCAAUGUUUUACUUAGGAUCAAUCCAGAUGUGGAUCCUCAGGUAUGUGCUGUCAUUGUUUAAUUCUAAUGUUACGAAUAAUGUAAUGUUGUAGGGUGUUCAUAGAACAGGUAUUUCCCUUAGGUUGGGUAAAUUUGGUUAUGAGACUUUAACGAUAAAACUACAUGGAACUUAACUGACUACUUAAAAGUUUUCUGUUGAUUAAAUUCACUCAAGGGUCAAGUUUUGGUUAAAUAUGUGGUCCAACUCCUGAAACAUGUGAGAAUUUGGAGUGGUCAAAAUUUUAUGCAUCGAUGGUCGUUUUUAGUUAUUUUAAUCUCUAGGAGAAAUGUACUUGGUGCUAUUUAACUACUUCAUUUUUAGUUGUGUAAAUAUGUUCAUGUUUUGGGCUGUUCAUAGAAAAGGUUUUGCUCCUUCAGUUCAAAGUUUGGCUUUGUUCAUUUAGUAAUAUGAAUUGAAGAGAAUAAAACAUUUGAACACAAUUGACAUCUCAAAAGUUUUCUGUUGAUUGAAUUCAUUCAAGAGUUGGUUUUGGUUAAAUGUACGAAUCUUGGAACUUGUGAAAAUUUUGGGUGCUAAAACUUUAUACAUCCAUGAUUUUGGUUUAGUUGUUGUCAUUUUAAGGUUAAUUAUUAUUAAUUUCUUUAGGCAAUAAAAUUUAUAGAUAUGCAAAAAAAGCAAUACAACAAAUUGCACAGUAUACAACAAGUACCAAACGACAAUCUCGGAAAAGAAAAAACAUAAAAAUCAACUCUCUCCCUCAACAUGAUCCCAACCAAUCAAAAUUAAUCAAAGAUAUUGAGCCUUUUUUAUUUACAACCUAACCCAUACUAAAGGAUUACUUAGGAAUGAACAUUUUAGCUUUUAAUCUAAAUAUUUCUUGUUUUCAAAUGCUUUUCAAUUUCUUUCCUUCCAAAUUGUCCACAAAAUUCAUAAAGGAGCAAUUCUCCAUACUUUCUUCAUUUUCUUCCCAUAGAGGCCAACUUAAAAGAGUCUCUUUGAUCAUGGAAGGGAACACCCAAACUAUGCCAAAUAAGGAGAAUAGAACUGUCACCCUCUCCUUUGAAGUUGAUCUAAUGUCAACACCUUUCUUCAGCUAGCUCCCUAAGCAAAAAAGCUCGCCUUAGAUGGGACCCAUGAAUUCCAAAUUAUACUCGUUGGGAAGGGAAUUGAUCUCCUUGACCCUCAAAUAGAAUAAAGAGAUUUGAUAGAACAACUUCAUUCCUCAAAUCCAUCCAACCACCAUAUCGUUUUCUUCCUUCUUCACUAACUUAUAUUGCAAUCUUGAGAAAAAAAGUCUCAAUUAUAUUCAAUUCCCAAUUGUUUAAGUGUCUAGAGAAACAUGAAUUCUAAUGAUCCUCUUCUCAUCCCAUAAAUCUGCCACCCAAGCCUCUGUGGAUAAGGCUAAAACAUACAAAGAGGGAAAGGACACACACAAGGGCCUUGGUGAGAAAAAGGUCCUUGGUGCUACUUAUUUGAUUUUAUGUCGAGUUAAUUGGUCAUGUUUUCCAUCAAGUCAAAUGUAUGUUAUGAUAUAUUUGGAUUUGGGAAUACUAUCAUGUAAUUCUGACUAAAAAAAGGUACAAUCAUUGCUUUAAUUGUGGUCUUGUCAAUUAACCAUAAAUUUUAAAUUAUCUAUCAGCAGAAAUGAUUCAAAGUUCUCUAAAACUAUCAUCCUCCAGAAUCAUCCUUCCAAAAAAAAAAAAUCAUUUUUUAAAACCCAAGCUGAGAGUACUUUAUUAAGAAGUUGUUGGUGCCAUCUAGUUAAGAAGUUAGAUAUCUGGGUAUUGGAGGUUAAGACCCCUAUUUGCUGCAAUCCUUUGUGAAUAUUUUAUAAUAGAGCUAGCUAGGUUCGAAUUUUUCAGUGUCAUAAUCUUCAAUUUUGCACUUAAAUAGUUAUGUAUGUAUAUAUUUUUUUCAUAGGUCCACCCAUAUGUAGCUACUGGGAACAAGAACUCCAAAUUUGGUAUUAGAAACGAGAAGCUGCAAUGGUUUCUUGAUGCUGUAAAGGCACAUCCCAAUGAGCUGAAGCUUGUGGGGGCCCAUUGCCAUCUUGGGUCUACCAUUACCAAGGUAUGUCAUUGACUUUCUUCCUUUCGUUUUUUUUUUACUAUGAUUUUUCAAAGUUGACUUGAGUUAAACAAAGCUUUUUCUGUUAUUUGAUGAUUACUUGUCUUUGCAUGGUUAACAUUUUUUAAAAGAUUAAAUUAUUUUAGAUCUGUUUCUACUUAUAUCUCACCAAAUCAAGUAUGUGUAUAUGUGAAUUGUGCAUUCUGGAAAUUGACAAGGACAUCUAUCUGCUAAUUUCAUAAUAGUCAUUUUGUUUUUACGUGGCAAAACCCCUAUUCCUGUAAGCAAACAUUAGUGUCCCGCAUUGUGAUAAGACAAUAUUGUCUUUGAGAUCUUUCUUUGUUGCAUGUGUCUUCUCAGCCUUUCAAGUUGAUUAACUGAUCUGGUACUGAAACUUUCUUUCAAUUGAUGUUGGUUGAAGGUCUGUCAUAACUUUUUCCUCUUGCUCAUGAUUUAUUUGUUUUGCUCUCUUAAUAGACCUUUUUAUUCUCCUCCAUUUUCACUAUUCUUCUUUAUCAAUCAGUCUUUCUACCUUUUAAAUUUUGAAUUUUAUUUUUCUUAUUUUCAGGUGGACAUAUUUAGGGAUGCUGCAGUUCUUAUGGUCAACUACAUUGAUGAAAUCCGAGCUCAAGGCUUUGAAAUAAGUUACCUAAAUAUUGGAGGUGGUCUUGGGAUUGAUUACUAUCAUGCUGGUGCUGUCCUUCCCACUCCGAGAGAUCUUAUAGAUACAGUGAGGAUCAUAUUUCUAAAUCUAGGCAAAUAGCUUGUAUAAUACACAGUGUGUGCAUAGUAUCAUGAUUGUCCAUAUCUUCACCAUGGUAGUAAGCAUGUUUAAAUAGGUUUUGAAAAUGACAAUUCCUAAUAUGUGGCUAGCAAUUAUACUUCUUUACAUUCUUGAUACCUUGUGCAUAAUGCACUGAAUACUAUUGACAGAACCGUACCUAUAAAUCUGGAAACUGGGUGAGGAAACCUUCCAAGCUCUGGCACAUCAUAAGUGGGUCUUAGAAUUCUAGAUCUACCUAGUCUACGCCUUAUUUUGAGCUUUCAAUUUUUCUGUUCCACUAUUCAGAAACAAGAAAGCAGUAAAAGACAUGUAAGAAAAGGAGGGAUUUAAUUAAUGGGGGAAAAAUUGUUGCCAGCUGAAUCCCGACUAAAGUGAAGCAAAAAGGACUUUUUUUUGUUAAAAAAUAAAUAAAUAAAUAAAAUUGAUGGAUUCUUAGACGAUAAUGAUAUAUAGGCAGUUAAGGGCCCCCUAAUUUAGAAUACUUUGAUGCUUUCAACAACUUAAUUCCACACACUUUUAUGAUAUACUGUAUUAUAGAUGCUUGGGUUCAUGCUUACAUAUUUAUGCAUCUGUUGGUAUGAUUUUGGAUUAAAUAGGGAAUCAGAUUUGUAUGUUUGUGGGUAUCUGGCUUUGAUGCUGAUAAUGCUGGCUUGGAUAUAUUGAUCAUGCCAGGCCCAGCAUGUUGCAAUCUUGACAUGGCAUAUAAACUCCUAGUUCAAUUUGUUAUGUGGUUUUCAUCGGUGCUUCCUUUUUUCAAGGAAUAAUCACUAGCCUAGGUUGUAGACCUUAAUGCAUGUCGAUGAUGCUCAUUUCCCUGCAAGACUAAGGGUUGACUACAUUGAGAUAGAUACUUUGAAUCUUUACAAGCUGCUUGAACUCAUGUCCAAUUAUGAUAGUUUUAUUUCAAAGGUUUCUGAGAUUGGAUGAAAUUUUGGGAUUUCUUUUCAUGAAGGAUUGAAAAUGAUGCUCAAAUGCUGAUUGAGACCAAGCUUCCUAGUGGAGUAUGGUCAUAACGAGAAUUGUCAGAAUUGGCAAUUAUUGCUUCAAGCAACAAAAGGUCAAUUAAUAUUUUUCAUUAUGGGUUGUUGCUGUAGGUUCGGGAGCUGGUUCUUUCACGAGAUCUUAAUCUUAUCAUUGAACCUGGGAGAUCACUUAUUGCUAACACUUGCUGCCUAGUUAAUCGGGUCAUUGGAGUGAAAACUAAUGGAACAAAAAAUUUUGUUGUGAUUGAUGGCAGCAUGGCUGAACUUAUCCGUCCUAGUCUUUACGAUGCUUAUCAAGUAAGUAAUUAAAUUAGAUCAGCUACUCUUGUUGUUGAAUCUGCUUUUGGCUGCAUGUGGUGAUUAAAAAUGAUGAAUAUUCUGCUUUUUAAUAUAAUUUAUUGAGUUAUUGAUAUUUAUUUUUAUUUUUUUCAAAGAAAAAACGUUCUUAAGAGUCUGUUGGCCCUUCACAUCAGAAAGUUGUUGGUGGGUUUUCCUUUGGCCCUAUUCCAUGAAACACACGUCCAUACCAGCUUUUCUAGUAGUAUCAUGAGUGUCUUCCUGAAUACUUUCAAUGAAGUACUUGGAAAGCGUGAUUUCUUGAGGUGUCAAAUUGAAAUAUGCUGGUGUAGUAAUAUUGAUACUAAUUGAUCAUAUCUCAUUCCUUAAGAAUGGAUCUACAAUUGAGAAUCUGUGUACUAAAUAUAAAUUUUUGUUUGAGCCACUCUAGAUGACAAAGGCGAAUUUCCAUUGUGGCAAUUCUGAUGCUCUCCUUUUUCACUGGAAAAGCAUGCAGCUGUUUCCCACAUGAUAUUUGGGAUUAGCUCCAUUACAAGUCAGGGUUUUUAGAGCAUUGGAAACAGGACUUGCAUUGAGUAAUGAACACCUUCUUGCACACAUUAACUGCUAUGCACUUGUGACAUCCUUUCAAAGAGCAGAUUCAUGCCACAUGUCAUCUUAUUUUGAGGUUAGCCUCAUUGCAUUUGUACACUCCAUAACUGUGGCAAACACUGACAUUCAUAUCCCUAUGUACCUGUCUUUGCAACCUUACUGAGCCAAAGAGUUUAUUUGCCCCUGCCUUUUCUCCACUAAAAGCUUGACCCCUAUUUUAAUAGAUUGAUCUAGUUCUUCAUGAACCAGGCUAUUAAUCUUCAUUUUCUCAAGUUUGUCUCCUUUUUUUUCUGAAGAAAUUAUGUGGUGGUAAAGAAAGUAAACACAAUUUUAUAACUUGAACAUUAUUAUGCUCUUGUAAUCUUUUCUUACAACAGUUACGUUUUUUGGCAUAUCUUGGUUACAGUUUGCUUCUCUUUGUCUGAUUGCAGCACAUAGAACUGGUGUCUCCUCCACCUUCUGAUGCUCAGAUUUCAACUUUUGAUGUGGUGGGCCCUGUCUGCGAAUCUGCAGAUUUCUUGGGGAAGGAUAGAGAACUUCCCACUCCACCUAGGGUAUGAGCUUGGUCUUUUCUAGGGGAUGUAUGGACAUUGGCCGUAUAAAUCUUAUUUAUUUAUUUAUUUUUAGGCUGCAAUAAUCGUCGAUAUUUUUGCUGAUUUAGAGUUCUACUUUUCAGGGAGCUGGCCUGGUUGUUCAUGAUGCGGGUGCUUACUGCAUGAGCAUGGCAUCAUCUUACAAUCUCAAGAUGCGCCCACCUGAGUACUGGGUAUGGAAGUUUCGCUUUGAAUUGUUUUUACCUGAUUUUUAUUUAUUUUCAAAUUUGAUUUCAUCUCUUAGCUAUGUCUUAGUAAAUAAUUCUGUUCACAUUCAUUGAUUAGAUUAAAUUUUAAUCAACCUUCAUUUGGUACUAUCUUAGAAUUCAUUAAUGGCUAUUCUUUGGAGUUAAACAAUCUCCUAAGAUAUCUUACUGCUUAGGGAUCUUAUUUCCAUUGAAGGGCAAAUCCUAGACGUGGCAACUCGCUAGUUGUAACAUCAAAUGAUUUUCAAGGCCUCGUGAUGGUUUCCUUGUAGAAGUCAUCAGUUGGUCCAUGAAUCAUCAUUUAUCACUGGCUUAUAAAUCCAACUUUUCCUUGUAGUAAAUCUUAAAACAUAGAAUUAAAGUGGCUGUUCCACUCAUCUCUGCCAUACAAAUGAUGCGACAAAAUUCGUGAUAGUGUCUGCCACUAAAUUUCCAGCAUGCCUCAUGCAUUUAGUUAAAAUUUUAUUUUGCUCUUUCCCAAAUUCUAUUCUUUCAAGAAAUAAGUGCUGGGAUUUUGAAUUGAUGUCUUAGGUUGAAGAUGAUGGAUCCGUGUCCAAGAUCAGGCAUGGAGAGACAUUUGAAGACCAUGUAAGGUACUUUGAGGGGCUUUGAUUGUAUGGUGGCAGACAUUGACAUUCCUACUUAGGGCUAAGAAGCUUGUUUGUUGCUUUCAAUCUAUGCAUGGUCUGUUGGUGGAAAUUGUGUAUCUGAAUACUCCAUAGUAGCUGAAUUUUAUUUAUCAGCUGAUCUAUCAAUUUAUUAUGAUCCAUUAUUAGACAAAACAAAAUAUGAUGAUGAUGAUAGAGAGAGAGAGAUGUUGACAAGUCAACUUAACUUUCUCCUUAAGUCUUUCUUAAACCACCUUCUAUUUUUGCCAGUUGCUAGGCAAGCAAGCAGUGUGCCAUGCAUUAUCUUUCUGUUAAGAGUCAUUUCCAUUGUAGGCAGUUACAUAUGGGCAUUGAUCUCAUUUCUGAAGUAGCACCUUUGGUUUUGCUUCACCUAUAAUCAUCUGAAAUGGGGUAGGUAGAUGAGGGAGAAAAAUGAGAUGUUGGUACACUAUGUAGCAUGGCUAAAACUCUCCUUUACUAAAAUGCUAGUAUAUCAACAUCACAGACCUCACCUCACCUUUGUGAACAAACCAGGGAUCACCAUCUUUUCAUCUAUUGAACCUGGAGAUUGGGUGAUACUGAGAUUUAAUAUUGUGCUAAUGACGAUUGGAUUGGUUUGAACCGGACAAAGACAAGACGUGGGAGAUGGGGUUGGCAUUGAUGAACCCCACCACAGCUCCAUGGUUUGGUGGAACACAUGCAUGCUCUUUAAUAGACAAUAACCCUUAGGUGACACGAUAUUGUCAUUAAUUUUUCGGUUCAUCCGUCAAUUCAAACUUGGAGAUGUUCUUACUCGCCCAAUUAAUGCAUGACCUGCCCUACUCUUGUAACGCGGAAAGUAAUGGUAUUUGUAGAAAAAUAGACCUGGGUUUUUAGCCAUUUGAGGGGGGUGAAACAGGGGAAAGCAGGGUGGGCAUGUUGAGAUUAUAGAGGACCAAACAUGGAUAUAUUGUUUGUUGAGAUGUUGCUCCCUUUGAUUUUUUGUUUUCUUUUCUUUUUUCUUUUUUCUUUUUUGUAUUUUGGAGAAGGAAAUGCUCGUCAUUUCACCACUUUUACCCAUCUCAUUAGAUAGCAAAAGAUGAUUGGGUAAUCAAUCAGAAUGUGACGGAUAAUGAUUUUUAAAAUAGUUUUUUAGAACAGUUUUUUUUAAAUAAAGUUCUUAAAAACAAUUUUUUAGAACAAAUGACCUUCCGAUAGUUAUUUUUUAAAACAAGUGAAAAUAUAUCUUGAAUAAAUGUUCAAAACUUGUCUUCUAUUAAAAAUUUGUCAAAUAUGUUUUUGAAUAUAAAAAACAAUUAAUUGUUUUUAAUAAUAAAAAUUGUUUUUAAAAAUCGAUGCUACCUAUAAAAGUAAAGAGCUAUUUGCAGACCCCCAUUUGGGGCCUUUCAUGCAGCUGCUCAUUUUGCCACGUGGAAGAGCCUUGCUCAACCACGUGUCUUCUUUUGAGAGGACAGUGCAGAAUCAUAUGGUGCUUUUGAAGUGCCAAUGGAAGGUUGACAGGUGGCAUGGGGAUCUGCAGGCCGUUGUCUUGAGGAGCGUCUUCUGUUAUUAGUGGCGUAGUGGAGGCGGGCAGCUGCAGAGAGGGAGGUGCCUGGGCUGCCAUUGGAAGAUAUUUUUGGAGCUGCAGGAGAGAGGGAGGUGCCUUUUUCUGUUGCAGGAGGAGCGUAUCUGCAGGAGGGGGGUGCUUUUUCAGAGGGGGCGAUUCUGCUGAGGAGGGGGGAGAUAUUUUUUUGGAGGAUGGUAUCAUUUUCAGGAGGGCUGGCUGGUAGGAAUAGAGAGAGACAUUAGAGCUUUAAGGGAGGAGAGUUUAGCUUGAGAGAAGAAGGAACUCAGGCAUUUGGAAGACGAGUCUAGGGUAACAAGGAAGAAAAGGAAAUCUGAGAAGGCAGUUCCAGGUACGUUUGAUGUAGUUUUUUUUUCAUCAUUUCCACUCAUGACUCUGUUUUCUUUGAUCUUCUAUCUUUUUUUUCUAUGGUUAUCUCUGAUUUUCUGGGCAUUGGAUGAUUGUUUGAGCAUGUGAUGACGUAUUACUUUUCUCUUACAUUGUUUAUCUGAAUAUGGCUCACUCCUAUGAUGGAAUUUUGUUGAUGCUUUCAUCUUGAUAUUUGUUAUGACUUGUCUUGUUGCACCACUGGUUGGGGAACCCUUGAUUUCAACUUGAAAGGGGAUCCCACUAUGGCUCUGCUCACCUUAUCUAUUGGGUUUUAAGUAAGUUGUGUUUUGUCUUGCUCUCUCACCUCUAUUUCCGGUGCCUCAACCCAUAUCUCUGCUCUCUGGUUCAUAUUUUUGGAUCUGCUCUGGAUGAUCGUUUGCCUGUUCUGACCUGUGCUUGAGAAUGAGAGGGCUGCGCGUUAGCUUACUACCCCAAAUCUGUGACCUUAGUGGACAAGACAUAUGCCUGGUUUACAUCAGCCGCUAUUCUAGCUGUUAGGUUUGCCAUUGAUACAGAAAGCUAUAUUCUCCUUUGGUGGCAGCGAGAGUAAAACGGGGUCGGGCUCCAUUAGGACAUGCCAUGUGUGGAUGUUCUCACAUGUUUAUAUUAUGCUCCUCACAAUUUCCAGGUGUUGCUUUAAGCCUGUUUUAUUCCUUGUCAUAAUAGCAAGUGAAAGAGAUCAUAAUGAAGGAGAUUUGACCAUGGAAUAAUCCAAAGAACCAGAAUUCAAGAGUUAGAGAUGCCAUGAGAGGUAUUAAUGGUUUACGGAACUCAAAAGCUCUUCUGUAACCUCUCAUCCUCUCACUCAGAGUCUCUGUUCCUCGGGUCUAAGCCAUGACCAGUGAGAGAGAGAGAGAUACGCAGACAAUAGAGGUGUGGCAAUUCUUCUCUACUGUAUCGACUAAUGAAGGGUCCUCAGGCACUGGUGAGGCAGAGAUUAAAGCCGCCAUAGGACUAUCUGGGCAUGGUUUCAACUCUGUUUGUAUUAUAAGGAUUUUCCUAACUCGGUCACACAUGGUUAAAGCUCAGGAUGGUAUGAAGGCUGCAUUGGGAUGCAUGACUGAAAAUGACUGUGGAUAGUACAUGUAUGAUACUGUCAAGGGAAGGGACUGGUUAGGUGUCCAGGAUGCUAUUCAGUAAGUGUGUGGGGAGGCACCAGAAGCAGUGAUAAGGCUUGAGAACUACACCUCCAGUUUGGGUGCAUGGAAGCCUUAUCCACCGCCACCGAUGUAUUCCAGACCUGGGAAGUCGUCACAUGACUUGCUUAGUGACAGCCAAUGCAAUUCCAUCUCAAGAGACACAGUUGGCCCUGAGGAUGCGUUUAGGGGGUUUCCAUCUAAUUCGAGUCCAUCCUGAAGUCUUCCAUCCGCUGACCUGGUGCCUCCAUCAGUCCCGGAUGGUGAUAUUCAUGAGCUUCCUAGGCUCCCCUUCUAGUUUGACCUUGAAACCUUCAAGACCUUCAAGUGGGAUAGGUCAUCCUGCCUCCUUUUGGUUGCCAGUGAUCCCAACCUUUUUUUUUAUAUACUAUAAAUAAAUUGGUGGUAUCAGGUACAACAUUUCGGUUGCCAUUACCUCUGCAAGCUGUUCCUCUCAGUUUCUCCACCCCCUCAAGUGAUCAGAAAAUGAAGACAUCCAGCAUGCGCCAACUUCUUCUGUCAAUGAUAAUAGUCAACUUGAAAAUGCCGAAUGAUUUUAAGUAACUCCAUGGGAUAUAAAUACAUUGUUCCAGACAUUGUUCCAAGCAUGGAAGGGUAAGUUCGCAAGCAAUUUCAGCGUGUUCUCGAGAAACAAAAGAUGCAGUUCAUGUUCAGAAUAAAGGUAACAAGUGUUGAUACAUCUGGAGACCUUGUUAAAUUGACACUUGAACCAGCAGCCAGUGGUGAGCAGAGCACACUUGAGGCUGAUUUUGUUCCUGUCUCAGCUGGCGUCCGUGCUAUUGAUGAUGUAAUUCCAGGUUCCAUGUUAACUCACAAGGCAGAAGAGGAGGGGAGCUUAUAGGUGCAAGAGUUGACUGAAUUGGAGAGACAAGGACAAGGGAUGUCUGUGGUAAGAUAGAUGUGAUUUGUUACAGGCCACAACUGUUCACGGCUCGGACCAAGUGACUGUGCCAGCCGCUUCGUCUGAAUCGUACUGCACUUCUAAAUCUUGUUCUAGCGAACGUUGGAGAUGGAGCAAUAAUCAUAAACAAUCUACUUCAGCAUUUGAAAGAGCACAAAAACCCAGUAAUGGAAGGAGUUUUGGCUGACAUAGAGAGCAUGCUAGUUCAGGGAAGAAUGGAAUUGCCUCUCAGCUUGUGUUUUGCAGUUUUGAGAGGAGAUGACCUAUUGUUGUAUCAGUUGCUGAAACGUGGUUUGGAUCUAAACGAAUUGGACAGCAACGGAUGAAUUCCUCUGCAUAUUGCAGCGUUCAAAGGGAGAGCCAAAUCUAAAAAUAGAUUCUUGUUCUACCUAUUCAUAGGAAGAAGAACCCCCAGUGCAAAUUCAAAGUUCUGAAGUUUUGCUGCUUCCCUACAAGGAAGAAACAUCAACUGCUGUAGAGAUCACAACAGAACAAGUUGGGUCUUCAGUAGUUUCAGGCUCCAAUGCAGAAUUAUUGGACUUUGAUAGCUGGUUCACAAGGCUCCUCAUUCAUAUGGCCACCUCGGGGUACCUCUGAUCAGUCCUCGCCCAUAAUCAGUUUCAGUAUACUCAUGAUCUUGCAGUAUUCAUCACUCUGGUUCCGUUGGGAUUUUAGAGAAGGCAUGCAACUGGUGUUCAAGGUGCACCAAGUUCAGAAUCCCACUUGUGCACUGGACCUACAAGCAUGACCCGUUUUGCAUGGCCACCUUUGGCAUGCAACCAAGGGGCCACUUGUCAUCUUUCACUUCCCCCAUACCUCUUUGAUUUUGAAAAUAAUUCCCAAACUUCAUUUUGUAAUUCCAAAUUCUGUUUUGUUUUAAAAUAACUUCAAGUCUUCAAAGUUUUCAUCCUUAGAGUCUUUAGGUUCCACAAGACUCAUUUUCAAUAAAAUUUGGUUGCUAUUUCCUCUUCGGCAAGCCAUUUUCACAUUUUCUAUUUUUUUGAAAUGUUUUAAAAUAGGGAAAAUUAGGUUUUGGGCUCUUGAUAUGGAAUAUAUAUGGUUUUGAAAACCUAAGUGUAUAAAAUAUGAGAUGUCACUGUUAAUUGGUAAAAUAAUAUCCAAAACAUGCAUUAUGUCCUGUUUACUUUUCUUCUUCCCAGAUUGCCCCUAAAUUUCUCCAUGUCAUCAGCAAAUUAUCCCAUGUCAGCAGAACACAAAGAAACCCGACCCGAGAACCAGGAAUCUCUCUCUCUUCCCGUCAUUUUGCCCUAACCCCAUCUCAGGAAAUUCCCAAUUUCUAAAUUUCUCAUCUUCUUCCCACAAGCCCCUCGUUGAAUUUGCUAGCUACCUCUUCAUGUCGUGGCAUUUCGGUCGACAACCCUUCAAUCAAAUCUUUCUCAUAUUUCAGAUACGUGGGUUUUCAAAACCAUAUAUCUUCCAUAGCAGCCUGCAAUCACAACUUUCCCUUUUUAAUACACCUGCUUCACUUGCUCCAAUUUUAAAGUGCCCAAAAAAAUUUUCACUUGCGUAAUUUCCUCACGAAAAUGUCUUCCAUCGGAACUUCAAAGGGAAUCCUGGAAAUCGGAAAGUUCGCUUUCUAUGUCUCAAUCCCGAUUGAUCUGAUGUAUACUUUGGCAAACAAUUCCGAGAAUAUGAAGAAACUCGUCCAGAAGGUAUUCUUUUUCCUCAGUCGGUGCUAUGAAAUUGGUGUGUUCUGGUUAUUGAAUUUGUGAUUACAUGACACCUGGGGAUUUUUUGAAGUAAAAGAGAAGAAAAUGCUUAAGAAAAUGGACCAUUCUGAAGCAUUUUAUUUUUCUUUCAUCCGAAUGGUCCUUAGUUUGUGGAGAAUAUUCUCGAUAGGGCUGAACUAGUUUUUCUUUAGAAGAUUGAAUCGAGAUUUAUUACGUUUUUGUGGUUUGGAAAAUCCUUAUUAAUUGGUUGAUAGAGUAAUUUUGGGGAUCCAUCAUUGAUGUUAGACAUUUUUUGAAUUGGGAACUAUUCUGAUUCUUACACGUCGUGUUUAGGUCUAACAUUUUCAGACUAUAAACUUCUUGGAUACGUGUCCAAUGUUCCUCAAAAGUCUCCUUACUUAUACAGGAAUCAAAUAUCUCUUUUUUACUAGCUUAUAUGAAUUUAUGAAUGAAGCAAUGGUAAGUUAGUAUAAUUUCUUAGGAAUUUGAUCAAAUAGAAUCUGCCUAUCCACCUUUGCUAAAAGGAUUCUCGAGGCUCUCAGAGAAUUAAUGGUAAACAAUAAGGAUAGGGAGAAUAAGGAGAUAAAGAGCAGAAGUAAGACAAGGUAGCUCCAAAAUAUUGGGGUUGUGACAAUGUUGAUAAUGUUGCUCUAGGCAAAACAUGACUAUGAAAGCAGACUCGACAUGGGUUUCCCCCAAACACUUGGAUUUUGCCUCUGGUUUCACAGGCUUUUGAAGUAUGGCUAGAUACUAGACCAGUGAUAGCCCCAAACACUAGGAUUUUGCCUCUGGUUUCACGGGCUUUUGAGAUACAAGAAGGGACUAGGCUUGUAUAUAAUAUUUUGAGCUGCUUUUAAGGUUUAUGGCACAUUUUUUUAUCUCUUAAUUGGAUUUGAAAUUCAAUACAACACCCUAAAUGGUUGUGUUACUAGUGAUCUUAUGUUUUUUUUUUGUAUUUUCCCAAUGAGAUGUUUUGCAACAAUAAAUGGUUGCUUAGGUGUUAAGGAAUGUUUAAAAAAUUUCUUAAAUAAAAUUUUAAAUUGUUUUCAAGAAUAAUUUUUUUUUUUUUGAGAACUUAAAUGUGAAAACCAGUUUUCUUGGCUUUUUCUCCAUGAAUGCACUAGAAAGAGUUUUUAAGAAAAGAAAUGAAAUCAUCAACCCAAUCAAAGAGAGAAAAAAAAAAAAGAAAUGAUGAAAUUAUCAAAAUGUUUCCUAGUUCCUGUUAGUUUUGUGUUGUAAGAAAACAUGUACGCUUGCAGGCUUGGUUAAAAUGUGUGAAAAUCAAUGAUACAUAUCAAGGUAGCUUAUUUAAAUCAGUGAUCAGGUUCAUAUUUAUUACGUCUUAGGUUUUAUUAGGUAAGUAGAGACUUAUGUUUUAAUUAGGUAAGUAGAGACUUAUGUUUUAAUUAUUCUUGUUGGUAUUAUCCUUUAUUCGUAAAAGCUAGAAUUCAUAUUUGUAUGUCUAUCAUCUUCUGAAAUACGUUCAUAUUGUUUGGUGGAAGUUUGAUGUAUAUUUUUGAAUUUACUUUGAUUAGUUUUCUUAAGACUUUUGUUGUGCUUAGGAGAGAAUUUGAUUAAUGUGCUUCUAAAGGAUUGUGGACUAUGUUGCAUGGGUUGGGGUAUGAGUGUCAAGUGCAGGUGUUUGUCUAAUUGUUCAAUCCUUCAUAACUCAAAUUUUAGGUUGUGAAGACUUGGCUAAAAAUGAUCCAAAAAAGGGGCAUGGACACCUUUUCCCUCUAAAAAAAAAUCAAUUAAAAUAAAUUGACAUAAAAAUUAAUUGACAUGAAAAUAAAUUGACAAUGAAAAUAUCCUAUUUAAAAGCUCCCACCUUAAGGUACCCUAGGUACUACUUUAGCUAAACAUGAACUCAACCUCUCCCAAGCCUUGGGUCUUCCUUUGUGACCCUUAGAGCUUCCCAUUAUAUGGUUCUCUUGAGUGCUCAAGUGGUCCACCAAUGGUUUUUUGGGACUGUACCUUAGGUACACCUUAAUGACCUUUAAGUAUUACCUUAAGAGACCCUAGGUACUACCUUAACUAAACUUGAACUCAACCUCUCCCAAGCCUCGGGCUUUCCUUUGUGAGCCUUAGAGCAUCUCAUUAUGUGGUUCUCUUGAGUGCUCAAGUGGUCCACCAAAGGUUUUUUGCAAUUGUACCUUAGGUACUACCUUAAGAGCCCUUAGGUACUACCUUAAUGGCCUUUAGGUACUACCUUGAGGGACCCUAGGUACUACCUUAGCUAAACAUGAACUCAACCUCUCCCAAGCCUCGGGUCUUCCUUUGUGACCCUUAGAGCAUCCCAUUAUGCGGUUCUCUUGAGUGCUCAAGAGGUUCACCAAAGGUUUUUUGGGACUGUACCUUAAGUACUACCUUAAGGGCCCUUAGGUACUACCUUAAUGGCCUUUAGGUACUACCUUAAGGGACCCUAGGUACUACCUUAACUAAACAUGAACUCAACCUCUCCCAAGCCUCGGGUCUUCCUUUGUGACCCUUAGAGUAUCCCAUUAUGUGGUUCUCUUCAGUGCUCAAGUGGUCCACCAAAGUUAUUUUGCACUGUACCUUAGGUACUACCUUAAGGGCCCUUAGGUACUACCUUAAUGGCCUUUAGGUACUACCUUAAGGGACCCUAGGUACUACCUUAGCUAAACUUGAACUCAACCUCUCCCAAGCCUCGGGUCUUCCUUUGUGACCCUUAGAGUAUCCCAUUAUGUGGUUCUCUUCAGUGCUCAAGUGGUCCACCAAAGUUAUUUUGCACUGUACCUUAAGUACUACCUUAAGAGCCCUUAGGUACUACCUUAAUGGCCUUUAGGUACUACCUUAAGGGACCUUAGGUACUACCUUAAGGGACCUUAGGUACUACCUUAAAGUAAACUUGAACUCAACCUCUCCCAAGCCUCGGGUCUUCCUUGGUGACCCUUAG